GAGCAGAAGGAGCGGCCGGAAGCGCUGUUCCUGCGCAAGGACAGGGGCUGGAGCCGGGGGCGAGCUCUAGAUGACCAGCGCGAAAUGAGGACUGCCCCAAGCCUUUGGGACGUGCCUGCGGAGCGGAGCCGGAGCGAGUGUUCUUGGAGAGGUCAUGAACUCGGGCCACCCGGGCUCACGGGCAACUUGUUCUGCGCAGUUCUCAAUGGAGCCCCGGACCCACCCGGCUCCUGGCUCGCCUGCUUCCCACCCCCCCUUCUUUGCUGCUCCUCUUUCUUUUAAAUGUGUGAAGUUGAAGUGGAAAGCAGAUAGGUGCUUCGCAUACUUUGGCGGACCCUGGUGGAGCCCUUCUGUGCCACACCCCACGUGGGAGCUGGGAUUUCUCUAUGAGCAAGAGCAGCCACAGCGCCUGUGCAUCACCUGAGCAACCACAGCAUCAGAGUGGGGGAGGGGUGCAAGUAAACCUCUCACCAGUGAGUGUGCAAGGGGUGGGGUGGUGAGAGUGCAGUCAGGGAGGCCUCCCCAAGAGGGGGGCCCAGGCGAGACCCGGCUGGUGGAAGCUGGAGGGGGUUGGGUCUCGCAUCAGAGCCGACAGGANNNNNNNNNNNNNNNNNNNNNNNNNNNNNNNNNNNNNNNNNNNNNNNNNNNNNNNNNNNNNNNNNNNNNNNNNNNNNNNNNNNNNNNNNNNNNNNNNNNGGAAGCUGGAGGGGGUUGGGUCUCGCAUCAGAGCCGACAGGACAACGGGGGCUGGUGCUGGGCGUUGAGGCCCCACUUAGGAUGUUAAAUUCUGAGCAGAAAAACAAAGAGGAGCCCUGGAAGGUAUUUCCAGCCAGCGUGGUCCUGGGAGUGUCGACUGAAAAAUUAGUCACAGCCUAGAAGUUGAGAGCUAUGUUCUAUUCGGCGGGAAUUUUUAGGACUUCAAACCCAGGAGACACCAUUUCAAGUGACCCCGAGAGAACUGCUCUGAGGCAAGGAGAGAAGCCAGGUUAUACAGAAGUUUUUACAGCAAAGGGCAGGUUGUCUGAACAUCAGAAGGUUAUUGUCAGUGAAAGGAAACUCCGUAUCCCAAGUUACGGCAUUUAGAGCUUUUCUAUGUGUGGGAGGAUGCAAGCGUCUGGGCUCGCUGGAAUCAUCCCUCUCACAGGCAUCUCAGCCCUCCUGGCCCAGCAUCCUGUGUUUUCGCAUCCUUAGCUGCCUUGGGGCUCACCGUCGGGAGUGGCUGCAGCCUGAUGACGGCUAUUCUCCUUCCUGAGUGCCCUCAGGGCUCACGUUGGAGGGCUGGGCUCCCCAUGACUGUGGCACCCUUGUUUACUGACAUGGCAGGAAAUAUUUCACUUCUCAACAGGAUCGAAUUUCCAUUCCAGCUGCAGCUUAGAGAGUAGAUUGGAAUCAGUGGCCCUGGAGAAGUCUGGAAAAGAGGUGAUAGUGAUUGGACCAGUCUGGGGCCCAGGGGUCAGAAGAGUUUGAGACACACAGGGAGUGGAACCAACGGAAACUAGCGUGGGGGCCCGGGUGAUGCAGAGAAGGUCCAGCUUGUCCAAAGGGACAGUGGGCACACUGUUCUCCUUGAACCUGAGGCGCCUUUGAGACGUCCCAGGGGAGACACUGGGGGUGUAUGGAUGAGUGGUGGUGUUUAGAGGAGGGGUCUGGACUCGAGCUGCAGCUGAGUUUGGGAGCGGCUGCGUCUGAGUGCAGAGAUGACCAGGCAGGCCAGGGAGGAGGACAGGGGGCAAGUGACCCGGCAGCAGUGGGAGGGAGUGUCCACGAGGCGGGGGUCGCCUAAGAGCCCGGGGAGGGGGACGCGUCGUGUCCACUACAUUUAGGAGCAACAGCUGAGUCCACGGUAGGAGAGGGCAGAGCCAGACGCUCAUGGGUCAAAUUGUUCAUGGAAAGCGGGGGAGCGGCCUGCGGCUGGGACACAGCUCUGUGGACUUGGGGUGACGGGGAGGAGGGCACCAGGGGGCAGGCCGGAGGCCGUGCAGGUUCGCCAGCCUCCUGCGUGCCUGUGUGAACGAGCAGGAGCAAACCCAGCUCUGCAGGAGAAGCUGGUGCAGGAGGAGCUGGUGCGGGAGGAGCUGGUGCGGGAGGAGCUGGUGCAGGAGGAGCUGCCCGGCCGCUCAGAGCAGGCCCGCUGCCGGGGCUGGUGUCCGGGCCAGUGCAGCGCAGGCGGGCCACGCCACAGGGAUUGGCCUGGAAUGAGAAAAACUCUCUGUCCUCUGACUUAAUAGAAGGGAGGGAGAUGGAUGCGGGCAGACAUGGGAGCAGCAUCACCCAGCGGAC
ensembl:lncRNA